rnacentral:rRNA from 1 species
ACGGAGGAUGCAAGCGUUAUCCGGAAUCAUUGGGCGUAAAGCGUCCGCAGGUGGUUCAUCAAGUCUGCUGUUAAAGACAGAAGCUCAACUUCUGAUAGGCGGUGGAAACUGGUGAACUAGAGUACGGUAGGGGUUGAGGGAAUUCCCAGUGUAGCGGUGAAAUGCGUAGAUAUUGGGAAGAACACCAGUGGCGAAGGCGCUCAACUGGGCCGUAACUGACACUCAGGGACGAAAGCUAGGGUAGCGAAAGGGAUUAGAUACCCCUGUAGUCCUAGCUGUAAACGAUGAACACUAGGCGUUGCUUGUAUCGACCCGAGCAGUGCCGUAGCCAACGCGUUAAGUGUUCCGCCUGGGGAGUACGCACGCAAGUGUG